UGAGGAAUAUUGGACAAUGGGCGCAAGCCUGAUCCAGCCAUGCCGCGUGCAGGAAGAAGCAUCUAUGGUGUGUAAACUGCUUUUGUACGGGAAGAAACACUCCUACGUGUAGGAGCUUGACGGUACCGUAAGAAUAAGGAUCGGCUAACUCCGUGCCAGCAGCCGCGGUAAUACGGAGGAUCCAAGCGUUAUCCGGAAUCAUUGGGUUUAAAGGGUCCGUAGGCGGUUUAGUAAGUCAGUGGUGAAAGCCCAUCGCUCAACGAUGGAACGGCCAUUGAUACUGCUAGACUUGAAUUAUUAGGAAGUAACUAGAAUAUGUAGUGUAGCGGUGAAAUGCAUAGAGAUUACAUGGAAUACCGAUUGCGAAGGCAGGUUACUACCAAUGGAUUGACGCUGAUGGACGAAAGCGUGGGUAGCGAACA
rnacentral:rRNA from 1 species